UACGAAGGUCCCAAGCGUUAUCCGGAUUUAUUGGGUUUAAAGGGUGCGUAGGCGGCUUAUUAAGUCAGUGGUGAAAGCCCCAAGCUUAACUUGGGAAUUGCCAUUGAUACUGAUGAGCUUGAGUAGAUUUGAGGCGGGCGGAAUGUGUCGUGUAGCGGUGAAAUGCUUAGAUAUGACACAGAACACCGAUUGCGUAGGCAGCUCGCUAAACUCUUACUGACGCUGAGGCACGAAAGCAUGGGGAUCAAACAGG
rnacentral:rRNA from 1 species